AGUGGGAAUGUGGAUACUCAUUAGCUGUUCCUGGCAAGCCCUUCUGACCAUGACUUUAUGGUACCCACUGGGGAGGAGUGUGAAAUGUCCAAAAAUGUUCCCAUCGUAGUCUAUGCCCAGAAUACGGCUAUUUUUAAAAGGAGGAACCCAUCCAGUAUGGUUCUAUAUUCCAUUAGACACACGCAUUCCCGGGAUGAAGGAGUGAAUAUCACACCCAAAGCCAGAUGGAGCUGUGCCUCCCCGAGCUCAGAACAAACAACCAAUCAAUAAAAAAGAGAAUAUAGCAAGAUAAGUGAUUCAACCUUGCUACCAAAAAGGCCGUGAAAAGACACAUCAGCAUUGUCUAACAUGGAAAACUGAAUGAACUUUCUCCACAGGUGUUUCAUAUUAACUUGGCAGCAACAGAAUGGAUGCUUCCUGUCAGAACUCAAGGGUCCCCUGCAAAAUGUUGAACUAUAUCUCAGGGGCAAACGAACAAGCUGGCAGGGCCCUACCAUGACUUGCGUCUAAACACUGGUUUUAUGUGGGAAGUUGUUUUUCCUCUCUGAAGAGACACAACUUGAUCUACUGCUUUCUCCUGGGACUUUUUUAAAGACACAAAAUAACCAAGAAGAAAAAUCUUACACCCUGCUCAAAAUUACUGAAAUCACUAACCCUGCCUCAUUUUUGGAAGGACAUCCAAGAUAUGAGUUUGUUUUCUAGUACCUGGCAUGGUUUUAACCUUCUUCAAGUUGGUUUAUGUCACCCAAACUGUUGGCUUCACAAAUGGCCCCAAUUUAUCCUCUGGGGUGGUGAGCACUGAGAGCUGGAAUAAUUUUAGUAAAGGGAAGAUCCACAGUGAUGCUUCACCUAGAAGAGUGGAGAUCAGAACUCCACCUGAUGCACUUCUUUCUCACCCACUGAAAUCAUCAUCAGUCUUGCUCAAUUUUAAGUCCUUGUGAGUUUUCCAUCUUCAUGCAUCAGGUCAAAGAGUGGAGGAGCCCAACAGUGAGUGACUACAUGGAGAAGAAAGAGGGUGAAAGCCUUCCUCUCUACCCCAACUUCCCAUUUGGGGUACAUCAUGCCCCAAAUGUACACAUGACCAGGUAGUCAAUGUGACACCAGGGACACCUUGACUUUGCCUCCUUAUAGCAGCUUAUUUGGAAAGAGGAAAACAAACCUCAGCCUCCAUAUUGCUAAGC